rnacentral:rRNA from 1 species
GAUGAACGCUGGCGGCGUGCCUAAUACAUGCAAGUCGAGCGAACGGACGAGAAGCUUGCUUCUCUGAUGUUAGCGGCGGACGGGUGAGUAACACGUGGAUAACCUACCUAUAAGACUGGGAUAACUUCGGGAAACCGGAGCUCAUACCGGAUAAUAUUUUGAACCUCAUGGUUCAAAAGUGAAAGACGGUAUUGCUGUCACUUAUAGAUGGAUCCGCGCUGCAUUAUCUAGUUGGUAAGGUAACGGCUUACCAAGGCAACGAUGCAUAGCCGACCUGAGAGGGUGAUCGGCCACACUGGAACUGAGACACGGUCCAGACUCCUACGGGAGGCAGCAGUAGGGAAUCUUCCGCAAUGGGCGAAAGCCUGACGGAGCAACGCCGCGUGAGUGAUGAAGGUCUUCGGAUCGUAAAACUCUGUUAUUAGGGAAGAACAUAUGUGUAAGUAACUGUGCACAUCUUGACGGUACCUAAUCAGAAAGCCACGGCUAACUACGUG